CGCUGGCGGCAUGCCUAACACAUGCAAGUCGAACGGGGGUAGCAAUACCCUAGUGGCGAACGGGUGAGUAACACAUAAGCAAUCUGCCCUUCACAGGGGGAUAACAGCGGGAAACUGCUGCUAAUACCGCAUAAGACCACGGUACCGCAUGGUACAGGGGUAAAAACGAAUCAGUGGUGAAGGAUGAGCUUAUGUCCCAUUAGCUAGUUGGUGAGAUAACAGCCCACCAAGGCGACGAUGGGUAGCCGACCUGAGAGGGUGAUCGGCCACACUGGAACUGAGACACGGUCCAGACUCCUACGGGAGGCAGCAGUGGGGAAUAUUGGGCAAUGGAGGAAAAACCUCUUACCCAGCAAUGCCGCGUGAGUGAAGAAGGUCUUCGGAUUGUAAAGCUCUUUGAUUGGGGACGAAGAAAGUGACGGUACCCAAAGAACAAGCCCCGGCUAACUACGUGCCAGCAGCCGC
rnacentral:rRNA from 1 species